UGUCAGCAAUGUAAUUUUCUUGCCAAUCAACAGUCCGCUGAAGCACAGCAUGAAGACUCUUCCAGAUUGGUUUAACAGCGAUGCUCAGCUGGCAUGAGAGGAGGGGUCACCUGAAGGGAACCUACCUGUCACCCUGAGAAAGGAUCUCAGCUGGAGACCUCUGCCCCAAGACCCAUGCUGGAGGGGACUCGGUGCUCUCGGGCGCCGCCUAGCGCUGGCCAUGUCGGCCGCCUGCGCUCUCGGAUUCGCUGCCCCCACGCCCAGGCGCUGGCGGCCGGAGCCCGCUGUGGGUAGAACAUUUUUGGGACCCGCAGCCAGCGCUGGCAGGUAGAGACUGCUCCUGCCUUGGAAUCCAGGCGUCAUUCUUUGGGGUCCCAGAGGCGCGGGGUGUGCAGAGGAGGGCACUGAUGGGACAGGGGUAUGGCCCAGGUCCUGCUUCAGUCCUUCCGCAUCCGCUUGUCCCUGCCAUGGGAGGGAGGCGGCCUGAGGCCGCGCUGGGCCAGCUUUGAAACCAUCCCUGGAAGCUGCCCAGACUCCUGCAGUUUGUUAACCGUGGCAGGUCGCUGGAACCUCUGGGAACUUUUAAGAAUACAAGUAUCUGGACCCCACCCCAGGCCGACUGACUUGGGGGUACUAGUGCAGAAAUGUGUGUAUUUUUCACGCUCACCCAGUGAGUCCUAAGGCCCUCAGUGUUAAGAACACCUACUUAACUAUGUGUGAGCUGCGGGUCUCUUUUGCACCAAGCCUUCUUAACUGGUUGUGCGCACCCUCGCGCCCUUCUAAAGGCUUGUCUCUGCACUAACCUGACCUAGACAGCAUAGGUCCUAGGUCUAGCCCGGGUGAUCACCAUCACCCAGGAGGAGGAGUGGGGGCUCUGUGUUGGGCACCAGAGGCCUGCGAGGUGAUUACCAUUGUGCUUGCCUGCUUAAAGCAGUCUCAAGACUAGAACCUGGAUCCUUCCUUGAACUUCCUGUCCAGCUGGAGUUGCCAGGUCUAGCAAAUAAAAGUGCAGAAUGUUCAGUUAAAUGUGUCUCUCAGAUCAAACCAUAAAUAAUUUUUUUCGUUUAUCUCAAAUAUCAUGCGGGGAGACCUGCGAAUGCAGAACUUGAGUGGGGGAAGAGAAUUAGGAGCUCAGACCAGCUUCGGUGACCUAGUGAGUGUGAGGCCAGCUUGGGCUACAGGAGACCCCACACCUCAAAAAAGAAAAAAGAAAAAGGAAGCUCAAAUAUGCUAAAUACUUGUUAUAGAUCUGGAAUUAAGAUGUAAUAGGGUGUCCUGCAUUUUGUCAGACACACUAUGCCCAGGGGACACCCCCAGAAAAUCCUAGCUGGGCCUACACAAGGUACAUUUGUUUUCCGCCAAAGACUGAGAGCCCAGCUAGCCUGCCACAGGUUGCUUGCUAGAGACUUCCUCACCCAGCUCCAGUCCUUGCUUCCUGCUCCACCUUUAAGCUACAGGGUCAUCGUGGAAACUUCCUGGUGGAUGCAGAGCCAGGCAAGGUUGGUGUGUCUACAGCAAUGCCAAAUAUCUGAGAAAUGGAAUGGCCUUUGGCAACAUCAAAACCAGGUGUAGAGCUUUCUCUCAGCCUGGUCCUCUGGACUACCAAGCCAAAGUAGCAGGUGAGCUCCAGGUCCAGGGAGGGAUCUAGUCUCAACAACAACAACAACAAGACAAAGAAGAAGCCACAAAGUGGUGGGCUGAAAAGAUGGAUCCAUGGUUAGAGUACUGGUUGCUUUUCUGGGGGACCCGGCUCGGACUUCUGGCACCCAUGCGGUGUCUCACUCCAGUGCUGGGGGGUCUGAUGUCCUGCUUCUGACCACCAAGGUCACUGCAUGUGCACAGUGCAAGAUAUAAAUGCAGGCAGAGCACCCACACGCAUAGAAUGCAAUGUCAAAGGUGAGACAUGGCUGACAAAGACGCCCAACAUCAACGUCUGACUCCCGUGAGAACUCAAACCUUCGCGGGCUUACACGGGAACACGUUAUAUGCAUUUUUAGGUCCCACAGAUCUAAAAAUGGCUUGCAAGCUUGGCCAGUUCCUUGAGGAUCCAACCAAACACUGGAAGUCUGGGACCCGGUGCAGUGAGAGGGGUCACGCGGGUGUAUGAGUGUUUUGCCCGAAUAUAUGUUUGUGUACUACAUGAGUGCCUCAUGUUCACAAAGGCCAGAUACGAUGUCAGAUGCCCUGGAACUGGAGCUACAAGUGGCUGUGAGCUGCCGGUGAGCGCUAGGAAACAGACCCCGGUCCUCUGCAAGAGCAGCCCGUGCGCUUAAGCCCAGUCAUCUUUCCAGUAACACACGGUGUUGUUUUAUAUCUCCAACCGGCCUCAGAUUCUCAGCAAUCCUCCUGCCUCAGUCACCCGUGCAUUACAGGCACAACCUAUCAGGCCAGGCUUGAAAUGCUGGGUUUUGUUUUAGUUUGGUUUUUGGUUUUUCGAGACUGGGUUUCUCUGUAUAACAGCCUCGACUGUCCUGGAACUUGCUUGGUAGACCAGGCUAGGCUUGAACUCACAGAGAUCCGCCUGUCUCUG